rnacentral:rRNA from 1 species
UACAGAGACUGCGAGCGUUAUUCGGAUUCACUGGGCGUAAAGGGUGCGCAGGCGGCCGAGUGUGUGAGGCGUGAAAGCCCGGGGCUUAACCCCGGAAUUGCACCUCAAACUACACGGCUAGAGCAUUGGAGAGGGUAGCAGAAUUCAUGGUGUAGCAGUGAAAUGCGUAGAUAUCAUGAGGAAUACCAGAGGCGAAAGCGGCGCACUGGCCCACAACUGACGCUGAGGCGCGAAAGCUAGGGGAGCAAACAGG